CUGGAGGGGCGGAGGCUCGCUCCCGGUUCGCCGGGGGAGGAAAGUCCGAACACCACAGGGCGCGAUGCCGCGUAACCCCGGGCUCCGGCCCGGGCAUACACACGGGCGGUGCGGUCGCGAGACCCGCCGACGGACAGUGCCACAGAAAACAAACCGCCGGCCGUCCUCGGACGACCGGCAAGGGUGAAAAGGUGGGGUAAGAGCCCACCGCUCGCUGCGUAAGCGUCGAGGCACGGAAAACCCCAUCGGGUGCAAGGCCAAAUAGGGGAUCGAGAGCGCGACCCGCGCCGUGCCCCGUGCAAGCGGGGCAGAUCCCGGGUAAGGCCGCUCAGAUAAAUGAGCCUCUCCCCCGCCUGCAAGCGGGGCAGACAGAAUUCGGCUUACAGCCCCUCCAGAGUU
rnacentral:RNase_P_RNA from 1 species